AGAGUUUGAUCCUGGCUCAGGAUGAACGCUAGCUACAGGCUUAACACAUGCAAGUCGAGGGGCAGCAUCAUCAAAGCUUGCUUUGAUGGAUGGCGACCGGCGCACGGGUGAGUAACACGUAUCCAACCUGCCGACAACACUGGGAUAGCCUUUCGAAAGAAAGAUUAAUACCGGAUGGCAUAGUUUUCCCGCAUGGGAUAAUUAUUAAAGAAUUUCGGUUGUCGAUGGGGAUGCGUUCCAUUAGGCAGUUGGCGGGGUAACGGCCCACCAAACCAACGAUGGAUAGGGGUUCUGAGAGGAAGGUCCCCCACAUUGGAACUGAGACACGGUCCAAACUCCUACGGGAGGCAGCAGUGAGGAAUAUUGGUCAAUGGGCGAUGGCCUGAACCAGCCAAGUAGCGUGAAGGAUGACUGCCCUAUGGGUUGUAAACUUCUUUUAUAUGGGAAUAAAGUUUUCCACGUGUGGAAUUUUGUAUGUACCAUAUGAAUAAGGAUCGGCUAACUCCGUGCCAGCAGCCGCGGUAAUACGGAGGAUCCGAGCGUUAUCCGGAUUUAUUGGGUUUAAAGGGAGCGUAGGCGGGUUGUUAAGUCAGUUGUGAAAGUUUGCGGCUCAACCGUAAAAUUGCAGUUGAUACUGGCGACCUUGAGUGCAACAGAGGUAGGCGGAAUUCGUGGUGUAGCGGUGAAAUGCUUAGAUAUCACGAAGAACUCCGAUUGCGAAGGCAGCUUACUGGAUUGUAACUGACGCUGAUGCUCGAAAGUGUGGGUAUCAAACAGGAUUAGAUACCCUGGUAGUCCACACAGUAAACGAUGAAUACUCGCUGUUGGCGAUAUACAGUCAGCGGCCAAGCGAAAGCAUUAAGUAUUCCACCUGGGGAGUACGCCGGCAACGGUGAAACUCAAAGGAAUUGACGGGGGCCCGCACAAGCGGAGGAACAUGUGGUUUAAUUCGAUGAUACGCGAGGAACCUUACCCGGGCUUAAAUUGCAACUGACUGAACCGGAAACGGUUCUUUCUUCGGACAGUUGUGAAGGUGCUGCAUGGUUGUCGUCAGCUCGUGCCGUGAGGUGUCGGCUUAAGUGCCAUAACGAGCGCAACCCUUACGGGUAGUUACCAUCAGGUUAUGCUGGGGACUCUACCCGGACUGCCGUCGUAAGAUGUGAGGAAGGUGGGGAUGACGUCAAAUCAGCACGGCCCUUACGUCCGGGGCUACACACGUGUUACAAUGGGGGGUACAGAAGGCAGCUACACGGCGACGUGGUGCUAAUCCCGAAAGCCUCUCUCAGUUCGGAUUGGAGUCUGCAACCCGACUCCAUGAAGCUGGAUUCGCUAGUAAUCGCGCAUCAGCCACGGCGCGGUGAAUACGUUCCCGGGCCUUGUACACACCGCCCGUCAAGCCAUGAAAGCCGGGGGUACCUGAAGUACGUAACCGCGAGGAGCGUCCUAGGGUAAAACUGGUGAUUGGGGCUAAGUCGUAACAAGGUAGCCGUACCGGAAGGUGCGGCUG
rnacentral:rRNA from 1 species